rnacentral:lncRNA from 1 species
AUGGAGUCAGAGCAACUCAAAGGAAGAUGCUCAACUGUUAUGUGCAGUUUUGCUCUAUUUGUCACUUUAGAAGUUCAUUUUUCAGUGUUUGUAAGACCAAAUCAGUUGUUGGUAAAAACAAUGAAAUUUACAGCUAUUUUAACAGGUACGCGUUCGUUUAAGCCAACAGUGAGUUUAAACCUCAGAAGAGAAUUCCUGUGGUUAUAUUACAGCAAAUGCACAUGGAAUCCAUUAUGUAAACCAGCCUGUCAGCACCAUCUGCAGAAGUUUUUUCCAAGUACUUUGCAUCAAAAUGUGGAUAUGUUUUAACGGCUGGAAUUGGAAUUUCAGGGCUUUUUUGUUUUGUUUUAAUUUCAUUACUGAAAAUAUUUCAAAAUUUAGAAUAAAAGAAGUCAAAGUACCUGACA